rnacentral:rRNA from 1 species
AUUGAACGCUGGCGGCAGGCUUAACACAUGCAAGUCGAGCGGAGAUGAGGUGCUUGCACCUUAUCUUAGCGGCGGACGGGUGAGUAAUGCUUAGGAAUCUGCCUAUUAGUGGGGGACAACAUUCCGAAAGGAAUGCUAAUACCGCAUACGUCCUACGGGAGAAAGCAGGGGAUCUUCGGACCUUGCGCUAAUAGAUGAGCCUAAGUCGGAUUAGCUAGUUGGUGGGGUAAAGGCCUACCAAGGCGACGAUCUGUAGCGGGUCUGAGAGGAUGAUCCGCCACACUGGGACUGAGACACGGCCCAGACUCCUACGGGAGGCAGCAGUGGGGAAUAUUGGACAAUGGGGGGAACCCUGAUCCAGCCAUGCCGCGUGUGUGAAGAAGGCCUUAUUGUUGUAAAGCACUUUAAGCGAGGAGGAGGCUACUGAGACUAAUACUCUUGGAUAGUGGACGUUACUCGCAGAAUAAGCACCGGCUAACUCUGUGUCAGCCGCCGCGGUAA